GGUUAAGUUAGAAAGGGCGCACGGUGGAUGCCUUGGCACUAGGAGCCGAUGAAGGACGGGACGAACACCGAUAUGCUUCGGGGAGCUGUAAGCAAGCUUUGAUCCGGAGAUUUCCGAAUGGGGAAACCCACUGCUCGUAAUGGAGUAGUAUCCAUACUUGAAUACAUAGAGUAUGAGAAGGCAUACCCGGGGAACUGAAACAUCUAAGUACCCGGAGGAAGAGAAAGCAAAUGCGAUUCCCUGAGUAGCGGCGAGCGAAACGGGAACAGCCCAAACCAAGAGGCUUGCCUCUUGGGGUUGUAGGACACUCUAUACGGAGUUACAAAGGAACGAUAUAAGCGAAGAGGUCUGGAAAGGCCCGCCAAAGAAGGUAACAGCCCUGUAACUGAAAUGUUGUUCUCUCCAGAGUGGAUCCUGAGUACGGCGGAACACGUGAAAUUCCGUCGGAAUCCGGGAGGACCAUCUCCCAAGGCUAAAUACUCCCUAGUGACCGAUAGUGAACCAGUACCGUGAGGGAAAGGUGAAAAGCACCCCGGAAGGGGAGUGAAAUAGAUCCUGAAACCGUGUGCCUACAAGUAGUCAGAGCCCGUUAAAGGGUGAUGGCGUGCCUUUUGUAGAAUGAACCGGCGAGUUACGAUCCCGUGCAAGGUUAAGCAGAAGAUGCGGAGCCGCAGCGAAAGCGAGUCUGAAUAGGGCGCAUGAGUACGUGGUCGUAGACCCGAAACCAGGUGAUCUACCCAUGUCCAGGGUGAAGUUCAGGUAACACUGAAUGGAGGCCCGAACCCACGCACGUUGAAAAGUGCGGGGAUGAGGUGUGGGUAGGGGUGAAAUGCCAAUCGAACCUGGAGAUAGCUGGUUCUCUCCGAAAUAGCUUUAGGGCUAGCCUCAAGGUAAGAGUCUCGGAGGUAGAGCACUGAUUGGACUAGGGGCCCCUACCGGGUUACCGAAUUCAGUCAAACUCCGAAUGCCGAUGACUUAUCCUUGGGAGUCAGACUGCGAGUGAUAAGAUCCGUAGUCGAAAGGGAAACAGCCCAGACCGCCAGCUAAGGUCCCAAAGUAUACGUUAAGUGGAAAAGGAUGUGGAGUUGCUUAGACAACCAGGAUGUUGGCUUAGAAGCAGCCACCAUUUAAAGAGUGCGUAAUAGCUCACUGGUCGAGUGACUCUGCGCCGAAAAUGUACCGGGGCUAAACGUAUCACCGAAGCUGCGGACUGUUCUUACGAACAGUGGUAGGAGAGCGUUCUAAGUGCUGUGAAGUCAGACCGGAAGGACUGGUGGAGCGCUUAGAAGUGAGAAUGCCGGUAUGAGUAGCGAAAGACGGGUGAGAAUCCCGUCCACCGAAUGCCUAAGGUUUCCUGAGGAAGGCUCGUCCGCUCAGGGUUAGUCGGGACCUAAGCCGAGGCCGAAAGGCGUAGGCGAUGGACAACAGGUUGAUAUUCCUGUACCACCUCCUCACCAUUUGAGCAAUGGGGGGACGCAGGAGGAUAGGGUAAGCGCGGUAUUGGAUAUCCGCGUCCAAGCAGUUAGGCUGGGAAAUAGGCAAAUCCGUUUCCC
rnacentral:rRNA from 1 species